rnacentral:misc_RNA from 1 species
AAAGUCGUAACAAGGUUUCCGUAGGUGAACCUGCGGAAGGAUCAUUAAAAGAGACUUUAGUUUUCUAAGAGAAAUCGAAGAAACUGAAAUCCCAACCCUUGUUUAUACAAAAAAAACUUAAAUUGUUGCUUCGGCGAAAUUGAUUUACUUCGUCGCCAGAAGAACCAAACUUAAACUCUUGUAAAAACUAAAUGUCUGAAUUAUUUGAUAUAGGAUAAAACCUAUUAAGAAUUAAAAUUACAACUUUCAACAACGGAUCUCUUGGUUCUG